UAGUCCACGCCGUAAACGAUGGUUACUAGCUGUUUGGCAUAAUUGAGUGCUGAGUGGUUAAGCGAAAGUGAUAAGUAACCCACCUGGGGAGUACGUUCGCAAGAAUGAAACUCAAAGGAAUUGACGGGGGCCCGCACAAGCGGUGGAGCAUGUGGUUUAAUUCGAUGAUACGCGAGGAACCUUACCAGGGCUUAAAUGCAGUCUGACAGGGGUGGAAACACCUUUUUCUUCGGACAGAUUGCAAGGUGCUGCAUGGUUGUCGUCAGCUCGUGCCGCGAGGUGUCAGGUUAAGUCCUAUAACGAGCGCAACCCCUAUGGUUAGUUGCUGGCAGGUAAUGUUGAGAACUCUAGCCAGACUGCCGGUGUAAACCGUGAGGAAGGUGGGGAUGACGUCAAAUCAUCACGGGCCCUUACGUCCUGGGGCUACGCACGUGCUACAAUGGGUAUGUACAACGAGCAGCCACCACGCGAGUGGGGUGCAAAUCU
rnacentral:rRNA from 1 species